UACGGAGGGAGCUAGCGUUGUUCGGAAUUACUGGGCGUAAAGCGCACGUAGGCGGCUUUGUAAGUUAGAGGUGAAAGCCUGGAGCUCAACUCCAGAACUGCCUUUGAUACUGGAAAGCUUGAGUCCGGAAGAGGUGAGUGGAACUCCGAGUGUAGAGGUGAAAUUCGUAGAUAUUCGGAAGAACACCAGUGGCGAAGGCGGCUCACUGGUCCGGUACUGACGCUGAGGUGCGAAAGCGUGGGGAGCAAACAGG
rnacentral:rRNA from 1 species